rnacentral:rRNA from 1 species
UACGUAGGGACCAAGCGUUGUUCGGAUUUACUGGGCGUAAAGGGCGCGUAGGCGGCAGAUCAAGUCAGCUGUGAAAUCUCAGGGCUUAACCCUGAACGGUCAGCUGAUACUGUUUUGCUAGAGUACAGAAGGGGCAAUCGGAAUUCUUGGUGUAGCGGUGAAAUGCGUAGAUAUCAAGAGGAACACCUGAGGUGAAGACGGGUUGCUGGGCUGAUACUGACGCUGAGGCGCGAAAGCUAGGGGAGCAAACGGG